CCUACGGGAGGCAGCAGUCGGGAAUAUUGCGCAAUGGAGGAAACUCUGACGCAGUGACGCCGCGUAUAGGAAGAAGUUUUUCGGAAUGUAAACUAUUGUCGUUAGGGAAGAGAAAGGCCAGUACCUAAGGAGGAAGCUCCGGCUAACUACGUGCCAGCAGCCGCGGUAAUACGUAGGGAGCGAGCGUUAUCCGGAAUUAUUGGGUGUAAAGGGUGCGUAGACGGGAAAACAAGUCAGUUGUGAAAUGCCUCGGCUUAACUGAGGAAUUGCAACUAAAACUAUUGUUCUUGAGUAUAGGAGAGGCAGGUGGAAUGCCUGGUGUAGCGGUGAAAUGCGUAGAUAUUAGGAAGAACCCCAAUGGCGAAGGCGGCUUACUGGACUGUAACUGACGUUGAGGCACGAAAGUGUGGGGAGCAAACAGGAUUAGAUACCCGAGUAGUC
rnacentral:rRNA from 1 species